rnacentral:rRNA from 1 species
CCGCCUGCCCAGUGACUAUAUGUUCAACGGCCGCGGUAUUCUGACCGUGCGAAGGUAGCGUAAUCACUUGUCUUUUAAAUAAAGACUGGUAUGAAUGGCCUCACGAGAGCCUUACUGUCUCCCUUAUUUAAUCAGUGAAACUGAUCUUCCCGUGCAGAAGCGGGAAUUUUAUCAUAAGACGAGAAGACCCCAUGGAGCUUAAAACCUAAAAUUACCUGCUCAAACAUAUUUCCUACGGGAUCACCCUUUAGCCUUGCAGAAAAUAAUUUAAGUUUUCGGUUGGGGUGACCACGGAGAAAAAUAAAUCCUCCUUGAUGAAUAAUUAAUUUAAACCACGAGCCACUGCUCCAAGUAUUAGAACUUCUAACUAAAUUGAUCCAAUAAUUUUGAUCAACGGACCAAGUUACCCUGGGGAUAACAGCGCAAUCUAUUUCAAGAGUCCAUAUCGACAAAUGGGUUUACGACCUCGAUGUUGGAUCAGGGUAUCCCAGUGGUGCAGCCGCUACUAAAGGUUCGUUUGUUCAACGAUUAAAACCCU